UAUAUAGGAACUUUUACUAUUACAAACCUGUGUACAGUCUGCUAAACUGGAGCUUCAGGCGUGACAAAUAUUCAAUUUGAAUCCAGCAGGUGAGGACCACCUUCAGCAUCUAUACAUUUUUGUUUCUAUUAUAUGCUUAUCCUAUGCUUUUCCUUCACCAAUUUUUUAUCUUUUAUCCACCAAAACUAUAUUCCCCUACAAAUCCCUACUGUUUCAUACCUCUAUUUAAACCCCAUAUGCUCUUCUUCUCUAGGUACAAGAUGAAUAAAAUACCCUUUGUAGCUAGCUAGGUUUCCUUUUCCUUUAUCAAAAUACCCUAAUGGGAAUUCAGCAAGUUGUCACGGACUUUAGUCGGAGACUGACGAAUUGGCGGUUUUAUGAUCGUCAUGCACUAUUAUGAGUUAAAGCUGCCAGCGUGAUCUAAACGUUUCUUCUUCGUUGAGGAACGAUAAGAUCACGUGGUUGCUUCAUCUGAUGCUGGUGGCAUGAAACCCUAUUUUCUAAUUCAAUCGUUAAGGUUUCUCUUUGUUGAAAGAAUGAAAUUUCGUGGAUCCCUAGACGUGCUUUAGGAGGAAAGAGAAGAAGGGAUGCUUACUAUCAUUCGAGUGCCACUGUCCAAUUGCCUUCUUCCUGAGGAGAAGGACGCUGCUUUCUGUCUAUGCCCUUUCUUUCCAAAAGGGAGAGGGCCGAUAGGUCAAUCAAUCUAUGAGAAGGUUCAUCCAUUCCUUCCAGAAAUGCGGGAUGGGAAAGCUCAAAGACUUUCUGGACUUAUACUUGGUAGCCUGCUGCUGCUCAUAAACCGUAGAGAGCCUCUUUCUGGUCUCUGAGGUGCCAAGGCUCACUGCAAAGACGUUGUCCGCUUUAUAUUUCAGGUCUUACCCCCACGUAUCUACUUUACUUUAUGAGCAAUAGCCGCCUUCUCGUUGCCUCCGCAUGAUAGUGAUAUCAUAGUUGAAUCAUAGACCUUAUCUGUGGGCUUUCGAACUCUCCUUCCUACUACUCUUUCACCUAUCUGCUCAUUUUUGUCUCAUUUUCUGAUUAAUCCUAAGAAUUGAGAUUCUUAUGAUAUCUUGUUAAUUUACAGUUCAAUGUUUUUCUUGAAGCCAGAAAUUUUUUAUGUAGGACUGUAAUUUUAUUGACGUUUCGUCUUUUAUUCUUAGGGGCGCUUGAUUGAUGUAGAUCUGACUGAUCUACUCUAUCAUUAAGAAUUCUGGUGGUUGGUUAGUUUUCAAGACAGCUUAUGUAUUUUUUGGCAUUUUUCCCCAUAAGUUUUGCAGCCUGGCAUUUUUGUACAACACUUUUGUCUAAAAAAUGUGUACCAAAUCAGAACUAUAUUUAUAUAUACUGAGUAAAUCUGAGUGCUACAAGGAUGAAGUAGGAAAAUUUCUCAAUAGAUAGUUGAACUUCGCCUAAACAAAACUGGGAUCAAUGACAACAAAUUUACAGAUCUAAAUGCACUUAUAUCAGGAUGGAACUCAAGGAUCCUUCCAAAAGAAAAUUUGCACCUUAAAAUGCAUGAGCAGAUCAAGACGCUUAUGAUUGAGCAUUUUGAUCUGAUCGUGCAUUUAAAGUCUAAACAUUAAUCCCGAUUUUUCUAGGCCGAGAUUGAUUUAGUUUGUUGAUGAUAUUGCCUUGUUUGGAACCACGAUUUAAUCGUGAUUAUUUGGACAUUCUUGAAAUUUUCUCUUCCAUUUGGUAUCUCAGUGCUAUGAAUACUAAUGUGCUCUUUCUUGAGAAAUACUUAAAGCAGAAUAAAUCAAAACAUCAUGUAAUUAACCUGUGGUUGAUUCAAAUUUAUGAAUUAUUGGCAUAUAGUCAUGUAUCAUUGACAGAACAAUGGGCAGCUCAUCUUUUUUGGUUUAGAGUUCCUGGAAGAGUUGGUUCCUUUACUGUUUUCUGAAUGUAGAAACAGAAUGGACAGCUCUCAUCUCAUGAACCCAUAUCAUUUAAGACUGCAUAUUACUCGACAGUCCCAGAUCAAUACAUGCUUUUAAUUCUUACACAUACUUGUAGAAUUCUGUAACUCGAGUUCAACAAUUUAUUGUCUCAACUUAAUUAUAAAUGCAUGUUGAUUUCCAUGAACAAGAUCAGGAGAUUAUAUACUGUUAUAGCAGAAAAAUCAUGAACUAAUUAACCUUUGGUUGAUUCAUAGUAAUGGAUAACUCAUCUCUUUUGUACACAGGUCUGGUUUUGGAGCCCUUCAAGGUUUUCUAAAUGUAGAAGCUGGAAUGGACAACUGAUCUUUACAUUUAAUGUGUGUGUGUGUGUGUGAGGUAUAUACUCAUCUCAAUUUUUUUCUUCAGUAUUAGGCAAGAUUCCACACACCUUUGGCAGUCCCGGUUGUCCAUUAAUGCAUGUGAAAUGUUCUAUGAGUCUUCCUUGGCCACUCUCAUUCAGAUGGAAAUGAGAAAAAUGAUAAGCUUGUUACAAUUCCAUUGGUCCCCAGAAGUGACAUCCAGCAAGAUAUGGUUUAGGAAUUAAGCUCCUUGUCCUGAUGAAAUGUACCAGAAGCAUUACAGAUGAUAAGGGUGGAUUGGCUGGUUUAUAUUUGAUUUUUGUCCAACAUUCAAUGAAAUCGUGCCUCUGAGAAUCUGUCAAAUUGUGCAAAAAUCCCUCCUAUGAUUGAUGUUUUAGCCCUCCACCAAUGUCUGCUUCUAUUUCUUAUUAUUUUAUUCCUAAUUAGCGUAUAUUAAGCAACAAAGACAACAAACAAUAAAAAUAUGUGAACCGUUUUUUGUCAUUCCA